GCGAGCCGAGCAGUCUCUCCAAAGGCUCAGGGCCGGAAGGCCAGAGGCUGCACACACUGCUCCAUGGAAUGGGAAACUGAAGGGGGGAAAAAGCAUCUUUGAGGGAGGUGGACAGACAGAUUCCAAGAAUCUGGGAAGGAAUGUGCACGUUUCUGAGCGCAGGGGAAAUGUCAGGCUUCCUCCGGGAGGGACCAAAGCUGCCCUUCCGAAGCAGCAUCUAAGGGAAACGUACUGACGCCGAGCAUGGUGGCACGCGCCUUUAAUCCCAGCACUCCGGGGGCAGAGGCAGGCAUAUCUCUAAUAUUGUGGAAUUGGAAGAGAACAAAACCCCUACCCUCACCCCUCACCCCACCCCACCCCACCGCACCCUACCCCUAAUUCCCAAGUGUCCUUGCAAGGCCUGGCAGAAUUGAGAAGCCUGGCCAAUGACCUGCCUUUCGCUGACCUCUUUCCCGAACUGACCCCAGCAGGCCUGUAUCUGUGGUGAACUACCUCCUCCUUUUGUCCCAGCCA